rnacentral:rRNA from 1 species
UACGGAGGAUGCGAGCGUUAUCCGGAUUUACUGGGUGUAAAGGGAGCGUAGGCGGUGCAGCAAGUCAGAAGUGAAAGCCCGGGGCCCAACCCCGGGACUGCUUUGGAAACUGUGUAACUGGAGUACAGGAGGGGCAGGCGGAAUUCCUGGUGUAGCGGUGAAAUGCGUAGAUAUCAGGAGGAACACCGGCGGCGAAGGCGGCUUACUGGACUGUAACUGACGUUGAGGCUCGAAGGCGUGGGGAGCAAACAGG